GGAGAGGAGCAUCCAAUACAGUAAAUAAUUUAUUCUCAUUUCUGAAUGCAAGCAAGCAGAAAAAAGCAUUCAUUAUAAGGCCCAUAAACUCAGGGGAAUGAUAAAUGAUACCAGGACAUGGUCCACCAAGAUAUGGCAACUCUAGUUGUGUAACAGUGCGAUGCAUGAUAGGACAUGAUCCAGUUCAGAUGUUACGCACAGACAAAUAUACAGGCAGUUAUAAUUUUACUGAAACCACACAAUAGUCCAGACCUUUAAUAGACAAAACUCUACAUCCUAGCUAAUUCACAUCAAGAAUAGAACAAGCGGAAGAAUGGAAGGGUCUCAAUCUCAUCCUGUUCUUCUCGAGGAUAAUGGCAUCGACGUCGAUCAGGCAGGAGAUGUGCCGACUACAAUGUCCAGAUCAAAGAAAUUAGUCUGACAAUCAUAUGUGCCGUGUUAAGAGGUCUGAAUGUAACAUCAAUUUCUAGCUCCCAACUAUGAAAAAUAACAAUCAUAAAAUUUAUUCAGUUUCAUCGCAGGUCUAUUAUUUGGAUUUAACAUUAUGCCUUAAAUAUAAUGCAAGAGUACAAUUGUCCAGUUCAUUCGUGUCUAUGGCGGCUUCAAUUGGCACUGCAAACAUUACCAAUUUUAAUAUUUAUCUUUGUUAAUGUGAGCAACUGAGCUAUGUUCCGAACUGUUCUAAAAAGUAGAUGGUCAAUCCAAUGUAUUCUGUUUGUACAUCAACAUUUGACACGCCCAACUCGCUGUAUAUGUCAUUUACCGGAUGUUGAAAUUACAGUUUGUAUCUUUGUUCUGACGCUAUACUUGAAAUCUUUAUGUUUUCAAGAAAUAAUCUAUUACACUUCUACAAAGGUAUGAAAAUGUACAAUUCUGUUUGCGGACAUGCUUCUUCUACUUCUAUUUAAGGAUUGCAUUAAAUAUUAUUUUAGAAGAUAACACCGACCAAAUAUCUGAGAAUGCAUUAGUACGUACAUGAUAAUUAAAAUGUAAAUAUUCAGACCAAAACAUCAGAUCAAUGGAGAUUAUAUUCACAUAAACUUGACUGAAAUUAAAUUGGAAAAAGCCAUGUAGUACAAGACGACAGCAACAACAGACAUGUAGUGCUAGCUUCCAAGGAUUCAUUUCAGUACAGGAACAAUUCAGGGGGAGUUUUGUUCAAAAUAACAAUCAAGGAGCGGCCAUUUACAUACUGA
rnacentral:rRNA from 1 species